rnacentral:rRNA from 1 species
CCUACGGGAGGCAGCAGUGAGGAAUAUUGGUCAAUGGACGAGAGUCUGAACCAGCCAAGUAGCGUGAAGGAUGACUGCCCUAUGGGUUUUAAACUUCUUUUAUAAAGGAAUAAAACGAGGCACGUGUGCCUUUUUGCAUGUACUUUAUGAAUAAGGAUCGGCUAACUCCGUGCCAGCAGCCGCGGUAAUACGGAGGAUACGAGCGUUAUCUGGAUUUAUUGGGUUUAAAGGGAGCGUAGAUGGGUUGUUAAGUCAGUUGUGAAAGUUUGCGGCUCAACCGUAAAAUUGCAAUUGAUACUGGCAGACUUGAGUACAGUUGAGGUAAGCGGAAUUCGUGGUGUAGCGGUGAAAUGCUCAGAUAUCACGAAGAACCCCGAUUGCGAAGGCAGCUUACUAAACUGUGACUGACAUUGAUACUCGAAAGUGUGGGUAUCAAACAGGAUUAGAUACCCUAGUAGUC